rnacentral:rRNA from 1 species
AUUGAACGCUGGCGGCAGGCUUAACACAUGCAAGUCGAGCGGAGAGAGGUAGCUUGCUACUGAUCUUAGCGGCGGACGGGUGAGUAAUGCUUAGGAAUCUGCCUAUUAGUGGGGGACAACAUUUCGAAGGGAAUGCUAAUACCGCAUACGUCCUACGGGAGAAAGCAGGGGGUCUUCGGACCUUGCGCUAAUAGAUGAGCCUAAGUCGGAUUAGCUAGUUGGUGGGGUAAAGGCCUACCAAGGCGACGAUCUGUAGCGGGUCUGAGAGGAUGAGCCGCCACACUGGGAGUGAGACACGGCCCAGACUCCUACGGGAGUGAGCAGUGGGGAAUAUUGGACAAUGGGCGGAAGCCUGAUCCAGCCAUGCCGCGUGUGUGAAGAAGGCCUUAUGGUUGUAAAGCACUUUAAGCGAGGAGGAGGCUACUUUAGUUAAUACCUAGAGAUAGUGGACGUUACUCGCAGAAUAAGCACCGGCUAACUCUGUGCCAGCCGCCGCCGUAA